GUAGCGCUCGAAGGGAAACCGGAAGUUUACACGCUGUUGAAGCAACGAUCGAGUAAUGGUGGUAUGCUAAUAACGCGUAAUAAGAGUUUAUAGAGCCUCUAUAAGGAUUUCCACUUCCGUCGGGGAAAACUACGCCGCUCUCGUUGUUAUGGUGAAUCGGUGACUCGGGGUGUCAUGUUCUGCAGGACAGGAGUGAUCGCUUCCUGUCAAGGUGGAAGAGUAAAUAGGUGAGCAGAAAAACAGAAAAUAUGCUCCAGAAAAUCAGUUGAAAGACCUGUUGCCAAAAGUUCCAUAUGAGCGAAGAUGUGAUGCAAAGACCUGACGACAUGUGACACAAUAAGGGGAAGAUUGCUGCUUCUGCUGCUGAUGAUGAUGAAAUUCUGGCCUACUGUGUAUCCCUAGUUGCUGAACUCCAAAUUCAAAACCCCAGGGCCCAAACUAUGUGAUGCGUGAUCAUUGCAUGUGCUCAAAAAUAAACUAAUCAAGAGCUCUACUGUACCAAACACCUUAUAUACAUAUGUAUGUGUAUCUGUGGUGGUUUGUUUGGUAACAUCGGUCCCAUUGUGCCAUGCUUUUCUGUUGCCUGUAUGUCAGUGCUUAUGGAUGGAUGAAGGCCUGUCAUUGUGUCACCAUGGAGAUGGAAGCAGCUUGACAGUGAGCAUGGAGAGACUGACAGCUUUUUAUAUCAAUCAGCUGCAUGCAAACUCUGCUUGUGUGUGUUAGGAAAGGGUAUUAGGCUGGAAUCAGAAAUAAAUCAUGUCGUUGGGAUGUCAACACUUGUCAGUUUGGCUCACCUCUCACUGUAAUCUCUUAACUCCACUGACCACAGUGACUUUCAAACAGACAGAUGCCCCGUGUGUGUGUCGCCCACAAGGAGAGAGCUGGCCAAAUGUUCUCUCUCUGGCACAGAAAAAAAUCAUUCAGCCUCUUUCUAAUUUACUUUGCGCUCCUCUCCGCUCUGAAUCCCCCCCGCCUGCAACCAUCUCCUCUCCUUCCCUUUAAUUCCUUCCCGAAGUUUUCCACCCAUCGCUCCCUAUAUUGUCACUUUUGUUCCAAAUGUCAUCCAGAGCGGAGUGUGCAGACUCAGGCUCAUAUCUGUGAUGAAUGGUAAAAUGGAUUGGAGCGAAUGCUGACUUUGGAAACAGAUGAUUAAUUACAUGAUGGAUACAAAACUAGUAGUACAAAAUAAACAUCACAGAUUCGUACUCAACAGUUCUCAGUAUGAUGCAGUUUAGUUUUACACCUCUACAAACUACAAUUCUAACAUAUUAAAUGGAAACUGAAGAUGUUUGACAUUGACGUCUUACUGAUAUAUUGUAGUAUAUGGUACAGUAUGUGUGGUCUAAAUAAACGGAAAUACACAGAAAAACUGCAAGUCGAUAUUCUUGUCAGUCACAAACGUAACUCUUACUGCGGAAGUUCAAUUUACUGCAUUUAACUAUGCUCGGAAAUCCCAGGAAAUACACUCAAAACGUGAAUUCAACUGAAAUUACGUGUUGUUUUUUAACACGACCUCUCGUUGCUCAUGACACAUGACACGAUUAAAGUGCGAUUCAAACGUUCGUUAAAGAGAAUAGUGCAAAUAGAUUCCCAGACAUGUGUGCUAUCUUUUAGCUUGCUUUACAUUUUCAGUUCAUUUGGAGCUGUUAAUACAUACAUUUCUUGCCCUAUCAUUUACCUUUUAGUUCAUAAGAUACAGUAAAAAUGGGCAUGGGCAUAUUUCGCACAUGCAAUGGUGAUUAAUCAUGAUUAAUUAAUUUGAAAACGGAUUAAAUUGAUUACAACUUUGAACAAGUGAACAGGCUUAAUUACUACUGCGUUAGAGCUGUGUUACUGGCUGC